rnacentral:lncRNA from 1 species
CACGGUGCGCUCACCCACUGACCUGCGCCCACUGUCUGGCACCCCCUAGUGAGAUGAACCGGGUACCUCAGAUGGAAAUGCAGAAAUCACGCGUCUUCACUGGGAGCUGUAGACCGGAGCUGUUCCUAUUCGGCCAUCUUGGCUCCUCCCCCUACACACAAGAGUUUCUAUUAGCUGAAAGAAGCUAAACCACUCCAGGAAGACCAAAGAAGCAAAUCAUACAUCCAAGUUAUCUGGCAACAACUUCAUUGAUUUAGUCAACAUUGAGUAAAACAGGAAAAGGAAUAGAACUUCAUUGUUAACUAAUCCAUUCUUGAAAAUAACUCACAGCCCAGCCUGUCUAAAACUGGGUGGACUGGAGGAAAUUUGGUUCAAAAAUUUUUGCUCCACAGGCUUUUGCAGUUCCACAGCACUUUGUAUUUUCUAAGAUGCUUCCAGAAUCAGUACCUUGUUUGUGCUUCAUGGGUAAUUUGGGAAGGAGUGAGGACAGAGAUAAUUUCUAUUUAAUAAAUAGAUAAGAACAUGAAAGCAAAAAAAUGGAAUGCCUUGUCCUAUUUCAAGUUGUGAGUCAAUGAUGUACCCAGAAUUGGAACAUGAAUAUCUGACAGUUGAUCUGGUUGUGUGGAAAUAACUGGAUAAUCUAUUUAAUCAAGGGCCUAUUCUCUGAGAUGGUUCCUAACUAACUUCUUUUGGACAUGACAAAUAUACGCAUAUAUACGCAUAAGGGGAAUAACUUUAAUAUAACUUUAUUUUCAAACUCUUCUUAACCAUCUCUUCUUUCCAAAUAUGGUGGUGUAAUUAGACUACGGCAUGUAUAGGUAAACUAGAUUUUUGUAAGUGGCACUGAAUUUGUCUUAGUCUUUCUCAAAAUUCAGCAACUAUAUUUGUUAUCUUUCAUUCAUCAGGAUUCAGAGAGCAAAAAAAUGUGUUUUAAAAAGUCUGAUUUUAUGAAUAAUUUGUGUUCAUUAAUAAUAUAUAAGGAAUAUGUAAAUAUUAUUCAACCACAAAAAAAUCAUCUUACAGGAACAACUAAGUCGGAUGAUCAGACCUUUCCCAAUUUAUUGCUGUGCCUCGUAUUAUGGAAUAUUUGUGCAUUACCAGACUCAGUCAGAAAAUAAAGGCAGCAACAAUCACCAAAAGAUGAAAAACAUUCAUCUUUUAUGUAGCAGAUUCUGAUUCUGUGAAAUCACCUGGCUGAUUAUCAGGGGAUAUAAGACAAAACAGAAGAGUUCAUUCUUAGAUUUCAGGGACUUCCAAGUAAGCUGUAGUAAUAAGGUAUCCUAAAAGGAAAGAUCUAGGUGUCUGACAGUUGUAGGAUCACAUGUGAAUAUACUC